rnacentral:ncRNA from 1 species
AAUUAACAUAGCUCAAAAGCUGAAACUUAAAGGAAUUGACGGAAGGGCACCACCAGGCGUGGAGCCUGCGGCUUAAUUUGACUCAACACGGGGAAACUUACCAGGUCCAGACAUAGCAAGGAUUGACAGACUGAGAGCUCUUUCUUGAUUCUAUGGGUGGUGG